UACGUAGGGACCAAGCGUUGUUCGGAUUUACUGGGCGUAAAGGGCGCGUAGGCGGCGCGGUAAGUCACUUGUGAAAUCUCUGAGCUUAACUCAGAACGGCCAAGUGAUACUGCAGUGCUAGAGUGUGGAAGGGGCAAUCGGAAUUCUUGGUGUAGCGGUGAAAUGCGUAGAUAUCGAGAGGAACACCUGCGGCGAAGGCGGGUUGCUGGGCCGACACUGACGCUGAUGCGCGAAAGCCAGGGGAGCGAACAGG
rnacentral:rRNA from 1 species